rnacentral:rRNA from 1 species
CACGCAGGCGGUCUGUUAAGUCAGAUGUGAAAUCCCCGGGCUUAACCUGGGAACUGCAUUUGAAACUGGCAGGCUUGAGUCUCGUAGAGGGGGGUAGAAUUCCAGGUGUAGCGGUGAAAUGCGUAGAGAUCUGGAGGAAUACCGGUGGCGAAGGCGGCCCCCUGGACGAAGACUGACGCUCAGGUGCGAAAGCGUGGGGAGCAAACAGGAUUAGAUACCCCCGUA